AAAUGGUCCCAAUCUUUGAUAGUCCAACUUAUCACAUGGUCGCUUGGUCUUGAUAUUCCGUCGAAGAAGCCAUGCUUUAUCUCCAAUUUUGAAAGUAGGUGCUUCAUUCCAAAAUCUAUCUACAAACGCCUUGCAGGAUUCUUGAGCGGAUUGUAAUUGAGGCUUCAACGUAUUUUGAAGCUCUGAUAGUUGUUUUGUAAAUCCUUCAGCUGC
rnacentral:lncRNA from 1 species